GUGCCAGCCGCCGCGGUAAUACCGGCAGCCCGAGUGAUGGCCGAUCUUAUUGGGCCUAAAGCGUCCGUAGCCAGCCGAACAAGUCCGUUGGGAAAUCCACCCGCCUAACGGGUGGGCGUCCAGCGGAAACUGUCCGGCUUGGGGCCGAACGACCCGAGGGGUACGUCCGGGGUAGGAGUGAAAUCCUGUAAUCCUGGACGGACCACCAAUGGGGAAACCACCUCAGGAAGACGGACCCGACGGUGAGGGACGAAAGCUAGGGUCUCGAACCGGAUUAGAUACCCUUGUAGUCC
rnacentral:rRNA from 1 species